rnacentral:rRNA from 1 species
CCAGACUCCUACGGGAGGCAGCAGUGGGGAAUAUUGCACAAUGGGGGAAACCCUGAUGCAGCGACGCCGCGUGAGCGAUGAAGUAUUUCGGUAUGUAAAGCUCUAUCAGCAGGGAAGAAAAUGACGGUACCUGACUAAGAAGCCCCGGCUAACUACGUGCCAGCAGCCGCGGUAAUACGUAGGGGGCAAGCGUUAUCCGGAUUUACUGGGUGUAAAGGGAGCGUAGACGGCUGUGCAAGCCAGAUGUGAAAGCCCGGGGCCCAACCCCGGGGCUGCAUUGGGAACUGCCAGGCUGGAGUGCCGGAGAGGCAGGCGGAAUUCCUAGUGUAGCGGUGAAAUGCGUAGAUAUUAGGAGGAACACCAGUGGCGAAGGCGGCCUGCUGGACGGUGACUGACGCUGAGGCUCGAAAGCGUGGGGAGCAAACAGGAUUAGAUACCCCAGUAU